GCAUAUCAAUAAGCGAGGAAAAGAAACCAACAGGGAUUGCCCCAGUAACGGCGAGUGAAGCGGCAACAGCUCAAAUUUGAAAUCUGGCCCCAGGCCCGAGUUGUAAUUUGCAGAGGAUGCUUUUGGCGCGGUGCCUUCCGAGUUCCCUGGAACGGGACGCCAUAGAGGGUGAGAGCCCCGUACAGGUUGGACACCAAGCCUUUGUAAAGCUCCUUCGACGAGUCGAGUAGUUUGGGAAUGCUGCUCUAAAUGGGAGGUACAUUUCUUCUAAAGCUAAAUAUUGGCCAGAGACCGAUAGCGCACAAGUAGAGUGAUCGAAAGAUGAAAAGCACUUUGGAAAGAGGGUUAAACAGCACGUGAAAUUGUUAAAAGGGAAGCGCUUGUGACCAGACUUGCGUCCGGUGAAUCACCCAGCUCUCGCGGCUGGGGCACUUCGCCGGCACAGGCCAGCAUCAGCUUGCCGUCGGGGACAAAAGCUUCAGGAACGUGGCUCCUCUCGGGGAGUGUUAUAGCCUGUUGCAUAAUACCCUUCGGCGGGCUGAGGUACGCGCUCCGCAAGGAUGCUGGCGUAAUGGUCAUCAGCGACCCGUCUUGAAACACGGACCAAGGAGUCAACCUUAUGUGCGAGUGUUUGGGUGUUAAACCCCUACGCGUAAUGAAAGUGAACGCAGGUGAGAGCUUCGGCGCAUCAUCGACCGAUCCUGAUGUUCUCGGAUGGAUUUGAGUAAGAGCAUAUAGGGUUGGACCCGAAAGAAGGUGAACUAUGCGUGUGUAGGGUGAAGCCAGAGGAAACUCUGGUGGAGGCUCGCAGCGGUUCUGACGUGCAAAUCGAUCGUCAAACAUGCGCAUGGGGGCGAAAGACUAAUCGAACCUUCUAGUAGCUGGUUUCCGCCGAAGUU
rnacentral:rRNA from 1 species